rnacentral:ncRNA from 1 species
CCCUGACAGCCGCAUAGUGCGACUGACAUAACCCGUGACAGGAGAUACAUAUG